UUUACUACUUUGAAAGAAGCAGUAGCGUAUCCGCGCUGUCAGAGAGGUCAUGGCUGGUGAAAAUGAUCACGUGAUAUGUGAAUUUCUGUCUUUCGUUAAAUAAAGUAGCCGGUGAAAACCGUUAAAAUGUUAGAGAUAGUAUCAGUAAAUGAUGCUAAUUAGGGUGGCAACGCGUAGACCACGUCCCUUUC
rnacentral:ncRNA from 1 species